UCGUGAAUUCAUCUCCGGGGGUAGAGCACUGUUUCGGCUAGGGGGCCAUCCCGGCUUACCAACCCGAUGCAAACUGCGAAUACCGGAGAAUGUUAUCACGGGAGACACACGGCGGGUGCUAACGUCCGUCGUGAAGAGGGAAACAACCCAGACCGCCAGCUAAGGUCCCAAAGUCAUGGUUAAGUGGGAAACGAUGUGGGAAGGCCCAGACAGCCAGGAUGUUGGCUUAGAAGCAGCCAUCAUUUAAAGAAAGCGUAAUAGCUCACUGGUCGAGUCGGCCUGCGCGGAAGAUGUAACGGGGCUAAACCAUGCACCGAAGCUGCGGCAGCGACACUCAGGUGUUGUUGGGUAGGGGAGCGUUCUGUAAGCCUGUGAAGGUGGCCUGUGAGGGUUGCUGGAGGUAUCAGAAGUGCGAAUGCUGACAUAAGUAACGAUAAAGCGGGUGAAAAGCCCGCUCGCCGGAAGACCAAGGGUUCCUGUCCAACGUUAAUCGGGGCAGGGUGAGUCGACCCCUAAGGCGAGGCCGAAAGGCGUAGUCGAUGGGAAACGGGUUAAUAUUCCCGUACUUGGUGUUACUGCGAAGGGGGGGACGGAGAAGGCUAUGUUGGCCGGGCGACGGUUGUCCCGGUUUAAGCGUGUAGGUGUGUGUUCCAGGUAAAUCCGGUUCACUUUAACACUGAGGCGUGACGACGAGGCACUACGGUGCUGAAGCAACAAAUGCCCUGCUUCCAGGAAAAGCCUCUAAGCAUCAGGUAACAUCAAAUCGUACCCCAAACCGACACAGGUGGUCAGGUAGAGAAUACCAAGGCGCUUGAGAGAACUCGGGUGAAGGAACUAGGCAAAAUGGUGCCGUAACUUCGGGAGAAGGCACGCUGACACGUAGGUGAAGUGAUUUACUCAUGGAGCUGAAGUCAGUCGAAGAUACCAGCUGGCUGCAACUGUUUAUUAAAAACACAGCACUGUGCAAACACGAAAGUGGACGUAUACGGUGUGACGCCUGCCCGGUGCCGGAAGGUUAAUUGAUGGGGU
rnacentral:rRNA from 1 species